GUGCCCCCACCAACUGGCGUCUGGGGAAGCUUCUGGGCCAGGGGGCCUUUGGUCGGGUCUUCCUCUGCUAUGACGCCGACACCGGACGGGAACUGGCGGUGAAGCAGGUCCAGUUCGACCCUGAGAGUCCCGAGACCAGCAAAGAGGUGAGCGCCUUGGAGUGUGAAAUCCAGCUGCUGAAGAACUUGUGCCAUGAGCGAAUCGUCCAGUACUACGGCUGUUUGCGAGACACGAUGGAGCGAACGCUUUCCAUCUUCAUGGAGUACAUGCCUGGGGGCUCCAUCAAGGACCAGCUGAAGUCAUACGGA